rnacentral:rRNA from 1 species
CAGAGGCCAAGAGCGUUGUUGGGAUUUACUGGGCGUAAAGGGCGCGUAGGCGGUCUUGCGUGUCAAGUGUGAAAUCUCCGGGCUCAACCCGGAAAGUGCGCUUGAAACUACAGGACUCGAGUUUGGGAGAGGGAAUCGGAAUGCAGGGUGUAGCGGUGAAAUGCGUUGAUAUCCUGCAGAACACCGGAGGCGAAGGCGGAUUCCUUGAACAGUACUGACGCUGAGGCGCGAAAGUCGGGGGAGCAAACAGGAUCAGAUACCCUGGUAGUCCCGACCUUAAACGGUGCACACUCGGGGUGGGGCCAUUUCACCGGUCCCGUCCCUUAGCUAACGCGUUAAGUGUGCCGCCUGGGGAGUACGGCCGCAAGGCUAAAACUCAAAGAAAUUGACGGGGGCCCGCACAAGCAGAGGAGCAUGUGGCUUAAUUCGAUGCAACGCGAAGAACCUUACCUGGAUUUGACAUCGUCGGCAAGGCCCUAUGAAAGUAGGGCGGAGGUUAUCCGAUAGACAGGUGCUGCAUGGCUGUCGUCAGUUCGUGCCGUGAGGUGUUUGGUUAAGUCCACCAACGAACGCAACCCCUUUGGUAUGUUGCCAUCAGGUAAUGCUGGGAACUCGUACCAUACUGCCUGUUUACGCAGGAGGAAGGUGGGGAUGACGUCAAGUCAGUAUGGCCCUUACAUCCAGGGCUGCACACGUGCUACAAUGGCCGGUACAGAGGGACGCGAGACCGCAAGGUGGAGCCAAUCCCAGAGAGCCGGCCUCAGUUCAGAUCGGGGUCUGCAACCCGACCACGUGAAGUCGGAUUUGCUAGUAACGGCGUAUCAGCUACGACGCCGUGAAUGCGUUCCCGGGCCUUGCACACAAGGCCCGUCA